AGAGUUUGAUCCUGGCUCAGAUUGAACGCUGGCGGCAUGCUUUACACAUGCAAGUCGAACGGGCUUGGGGGCGUUGCUCCCAAGUUAGUGGCGAACGGGUGAGUAAUACAUCGGAACGUACCGUGUAGUGGGGGAUAACGUAGCGAAAGUUACGCUAAUACCGCAUACGAUCUACGGAUGAAAGCAGGGGACCUUCGGGCCUUGUGCUAUACGAGCGGCCGAUGUCUGAUUAGCUAGUUGGUGAGGUAAAGGCUCACCAAGGCGACGAUCAGUAGCGGGGUCUGAGAGGAUGAUCCGCCACACUGGGACUGAGACACGGCCCAGACUCCUACGGGAGGCAGCAGUGGGGAAUUUUGGACAAUGGGCGAAAGCCUGAUCCAGCCAUGCCGCGUGUCUGAAGAAGGCCUUCGGGUUGUAAAGGACUUUUGUCAGGGAGCAAAACUUACUGGUUAAUACCCGGUGAGGCUGAGAGUACCUGAAGAAUAAGCACCGGCUAACUACGUG
rnacentral:rRNA from 1 species